rnacentral:rRNA from 1 species
CGCAUCUGUGCAUGGCAGCAUAUCAAUAAGCGGAGGAAAAGAAACUAACAAGGAUUCCCCUAGUAACGGCGAGUGAAGCGGGAAGAGCUCAAAUUUGAAAUCUUAAAGGGUUUCCCUUUACGAAUUGUAGUCUAAAGAAGUGUUUUCUGUUGAGGUUUUGGUAAAAGUUCUUUGGAAUAGGACAUCAUAGAGGGUGAGAAUCCCGUAUUUGACCUUUACUUUCAACUUUGUGAUACACUUUCAAAGAGUCGGAUUGUUUGGGAAUGCAGUCCAAAAUGGGUGGUAAAUUUCAUCUAAAGCUAAAUAUUGGCGAGGGACCGAUAGCGAACAAGUACCGUGAGGGAAAGAUGAAAAGAACUUUGAAAAGAGAGUUAAACAGUACGUGAAAUUGUCAAAAGGGAAGCGUUUGACACCAGUGUUGUUUUUCUGAAAAUCAAUUAAAGAACUGUUUAUGCUAAGUUGUUUAGACUUUAUCAGCUAAUCUGCUUAGUUUUGAGCUUUUCUUUAAUGCACUUUUCAGUUAACAAGUCAACAUCAAUUUCUUUUGCUGUAAAAAAGCUUGAGGAAGGUGGCUUGAGAUUCGUCUUAAGUGUUUAUAGCCUCUUGCCUAUGCAGUCGGAGAGAUUGAGGUCUGCAGCGUAGAUCCUUCGGGGCUAAAUGCAUUUGUGCUAAGUUAUAGCAUUUUAUAGACAACUUGUUGACUAUGAUUUGUCUUGUAGCUUACUCGCUUAUGUUAUUUUACCUACGCUUAGGAUGUUGAAUCUGUGCGAGACUAC